rnacentral:snRNA from 1 species
GUGCUCACUUUGGCAGCACAUAUACUAAAAUUGGAAUGAUACAGAGAUUAGCAUGGCCCCUGCACAAGGAUGACAUGCAAAUUCAUGAAGCAUUCCAUAUUUUU